rnacentral:rRNA from 1 species
UACAGAGGUGGCAAGCGUUGUUCGGAAUUACUGGGCGUAAAGGGCGCGUAGGCUGUGCUGUAAGUCAGGCGUGAAAGCCCCGGGCUCAACCUGGGAAUUGCGCUUGAUACUGCGGCGCUGGAAGGUGGGAGAGGAUGGCGGAAUUCCCAGUGUAGAGGUGAAAUUCGUAGAUAUUGGGAAGAACACCGGUGGCCAAGGCGGCCAUCUGGCCCACAUUUGACGCUGAGGCGCGAAAGCGUGGGGAGCAAACAGG